GGCCCUCUCAGAGGUCCAGAAAAGGCCCAAGCCACCUCCAGCUUUUGAGGCCCCCUAGCCACAAUAAAAAUAAAAAAGGACGACACGUGAAAACCAAAAACGGCACCAAAAAAGAGUUACUGCCAAUUUCAGCGCCUCCCAAGAGCACAUACAACAGCCUGUGGUGUCGGAUUAAGGGAGACAGAUGCUGCUUCACAGGGGCUCAUAUUCUUAAUAGGUACAAGGCCGUUGCUCCAUGUUAAACCUCCAGCCUAGUCUUCAGUGCUGACACAAGAAAAAGCAUGGUCUAUUUACAUCAAAGGGAUAAAUUCAGUGGGACUGUACAAAUAAGGAAUGAAACAAUCUUCUCCAGAGGGGGUCACGAAUCUACUCUGCCCAGAACUUCAUGUCAGUCAGAAACAAGAACAUGAAGCAGAGCUACAGAGAACCCAUUAGCCAUGGUCCAGUCUGACAUGAAAGAUACAGUAAGUUUAUUACUGUAACGUUUCAUCCUUUGACUUCCAUAGGAGCAGAGAAAGGCCAGAGGGGCUUUCAGAUCGGAAAUUGGCAUCAGGAGGGUUCACUCCACCCACAGUUGCCCAGGCAUAUGGCCAAGGAAAACUCAGUAAACCCAGGUGUAAUUUUCCACAAUGCUUCCUGCAACAGGAAUCCUGGGAAUCCUUCCUCAAUGGGGUUAUUUUCUUUCUUUACAAAAGUGGGUUUCCAGUUUUAAUUUUUUGGACUCUAUUCAACAGAAUCAACACAACCAGAAUUAAUGAAUGUUUUGCAAAACAUAACCAUUCUCCUCUAAUAUGUGAUAAGCAUAAAUGCACAGGAGGGAGACAAAUUGCUCAGAGGAGGCCUGGGGGUGGAGGUAACUAGGAGUAAUAGGAAGCCAUUACUAAAAGUGAAUUAACAGCACCCCAGAUGUUUGCUAUGACAGGAGUAUUGUUAUCCCAGGAUUAUUUUGCAGUCACUCACCCAUGGGCUGGAUACUGUCCCAAAGAACUCAAUGAGAAUUUUGUGAUUGGCUUUAAUGAGAGCUGGAUCAGACCCCGGGGUCUUUCUGAUCUUUGGUCUCUCUGUCCUAUCCAUAUGAGCUCUGAGUACGGAGCGUUGUGGUGGUACUAAGAUAUUACUGUGCCCCUUUGUAUGGGCAAGAAUGUUAGUUCAUGUCCCAUUGCUCAUGUGAACUUUAGGAAAACCUUACCAAUCACUCUAGUGUUAGAGACAAAGCAAUUCAUUAGCAGCUCAGAUUUUUUUAUCUUAGUUGCCAUCACUGCUGCCUUCCAUGUUGUUUCUUCAUUUAGGGUUAAUCGUUUGAAUGAAACACUAGUUAUCAGCAUCGCCUCAGGGUUUUGCUCAGCCCCCUUCUUGCUAAAUGGAUAUGUGGGGCUGUUGAGGGAGUAGGUACAGCUUGUGAGUCUUCACUAUCCAGCUUUAUCCAUCUCUUCUAACCUUGAAGAUACAGUGGAACCUCUUGCCCUGAGUCAAAGGAAAUGGAGGCCUAGAUAACAGCUACCCAGUGAGGUUCAACCCAGAGAUGGCAGAGACAAUAUCUGCAGGAUGGAAGAAACAAAAAUACUGCAGAUAGAACCUCUCUACUCAGCACCCUUUUGACUGGUGCUGAACCAAAAGAAGUCAAUAUUGUUUAGCAGCAUUACCAACACUUCCACUGCUGGGCU